AUGCUUUGUAUGUUCCAUUUUGGGGUGCACAGAAGAAAUUCCAAGUAUCUUAUGUUUCUGAAAGUGGAAAUCUCUCUGCUUCCUGCCUUCCAUCUUAUGGUGUCAGUUUGGGUGUGUUACAGAAGCUUAGCAAAGCAUUUAUGUAAGGCCCUCUUAGUGAGGGAUGCUCUCUGGAGUUUCAAAUAUUUUGUAAUUAAUUUUGUUCUUUUAUUCUGUCUUUUUCAGGAAAUAGGGAAUGCUUCCUCUUGUGAUUUGGGGUGCCCAUCAGAAAUAGUGGCACUGUUGACCUUAAAUCUCCCUUUUUUAGAAUCUGGAUACUUUUUUUAUCACAAUGGUCUUGCUAAAGCCAGGAGAAGACGCAGCCUUCAACACAAGCUUCAUCUGGAAAAGGACACCAGGACUUUUUGCACCAGCUUAAUACUGGGCUGAAGUUGGACCAGGUAGCACAAAAAAUGUAUUUACUGCCCAAAGAAGAUGUUGGUGGAUGGUUAUUGAAAUAUAGAGGUUUAUGAGUGUCAUUAUCUGAAAACACAAGAAGAAAAAAGCAGCAGAGGUUACAGCACAGUUUUUUAAAAAAAAAGUCAGACACAAAGUUUCUGGGAAGGUAGAAUUCAGCCUGCACUUGAGACAUGGAAAGACAAAGGGUCACACAGGCAGCAGGGCAGAGAUAAGUAAUUGCAGGAAAUAUGCCUAUGUUGUAUUACCUGUGUCAUUCCAAACAAGAAAU
rnacentral:lncRNA from 1 species